UGUGUAGGCGGGCCGUUAAGUAUCUUGUGAAAUCCCCCGGCUCAACCGGGGAAUGGCUGGAUAUACUGGCGGUCUUGAGCAAUCUAGGGGCAGAUGGAACAAGUGGUGGAGCGGUGAAAUGCGUAGAUAUCACUUGGAACGCCAAAGGUGAAGACAGUCUGCUGGGGAUUUGCUGACGCUGAGACACGAAAGCCAGGGGAGCGAACGGGAUUAGAUACCCCGGUAGUCCUGGCCCUAAACGAUGUCGACUAGAUCGCGGGACCUCUGACGGUUUCGCGGUCGAAGCAAAAGUGCUAAGUCGACCGCCUGGGAAGUACGGUCGCAAGGCUAAA
rnacentral:rRNA from 1 species